CAUAAGUCCGAUUGGGAUCGCAACAGUCAAAGUAUUUAUUCCAGUUCAAGUAACAAAGGUUUUUUUUUUAUGUUUUUAGUUUUAGUUUAACUGCUAUAUGCUGCUAACCUGCAUCUUCUGCUCCUAUAGCGAGCAGUAUUGAGCAGCAAUACUUCUACAUCAGCUUUCUGUACACAUGGAGAGAAGCUCAGAGAUACUGCAGACGGUAUCACACAGAUCUGGUCAGCGUGAGGAACCAGGGAGAGAACCAAGAGAUCCAGCAGCUCAUUCCCACACUAGGAUUCGCAUACAUCGGCCUCUUCAAAGACCCUUACAUCUGGUCCGACAAGAGCAGGUCUUCCUUCAGAAACUGGGAUUUGUUUCAGCCAGAUUUGCUCGGAGAUUGUGCUGCGUUACUGGAGGACGGAUUUUGGAAGACUGAGCUCUGCAGUAAACUGAAACCAUUCUUCUGCUAUCGCAGCGAAGUUGUUAUGAAGAGGCAAAUACUGAGACUGGAGGUGAAAUCUGGUCUGAAUGUGAAUGAUCCUGAUAUAAAGACGGCCAUCUUAACUGAGAUCCAGCAGAGGCUGCAGAAACUGGGAGUGACGGACAUCACCAGACUGGAAUGGAGAGAAGCAGCAGACGGAACAGUCUUUCAGAAGAACCAGAGCAAAAUAAGUGCAGAGCAAAUGAAGAGAUGAACUAUAAGGCCUCUUUUACCAUACUUGUAAACAGUCUUAAAAUAUGAUAUUGCUGCAUCUCUGUUUUGUUUUUUAUUUACUAUGUGUAGAUUUAGAAUAACUUGGCUAGAUUAUGAAAUGACACAUGCAGGCCUGUAUGUCUAUAUUUAAAACAAAUGUGUCGCACUAUGAUUUCUGGUUAUGGUUAUUCUUUGUAUUAAAGUAUGGGUGUAACUGUCAAUAUUUCAUGGUCUUGUGUCC